rnacentral:rRNA from 1 species
UACGUAGGGUGCAAGCGUUGUCCGGAAUUAUUGGGCGUAAAGAGCUCGUAGGCGGCUUGUCGCGUCGGCUGUGAAAACCCGGGGCUCAACCCCGGGCCUGCAGUCGAUACGGGCAGGCUAGAGUCCGGCAGGGGAGACUGGAAUUCCUGGUGUAGCGGUGAAAUGCGCAGAUAUCAGGAGGAACACCGGUGGCGAAGGCGGGUCUCUGGGCCGGAACUGACGCUGAGGAGCGAAAGCGUGGGGAGCGAACAGG